rnacentral:lncRNA from 1 species
AAGCCUAAACUGAUAUGGAGAGGUAUAUUUCGAUAUACUUCUCCGAUUCUCGAAUGGAUUGUUCCUAUGCAUUUCAUUCGAUGAUACAGAUAUAUUUGCAUCUUUAUUCCAUUCAUCGGAUAGGAAAAUUGACUUUUGACCCCUAGAUCUCCUUCCUUGGACUCAAGCCUAACUAUGUGAAGCUUCUAAAUAUAAAAAUUUAAAUUA